GCUAGGAAGAGGAAGAAAGAGAGAAUCUCAGAAUUGUAGGAAUGAGAACAUGAAGGAAAGCUUAAGCACUAGUGUCCGCUCUAAUAUUGGAGGUGGAAACCGAGAUUCAUGUUUUCCGAGAUUCAUGUUUUCCUGAUGCCUCUCAUUCCUAUGGUUCUUAGGUACUCCUUCCUCUUCCUAUGGGCU
rnacentral:pre_miRNA from 1 species